AGCGAACGCUGGCGGCAGGCCUAACACAUGCAAGUCGAACGGACCCUUCGGGGUUAGUGGCGGACGGGUGAGUAACACGUGGGAACGUGCCUUUAGGUUCGGAAUAGCUCCUGGAAACGGGUGGUAAUGCCGAAUGUGCCCUUCGGGGGAAAGAUUUAUCGCCUUUAGAGCGGCCCGCGUCUGAUUAGCUGGUUGGUGAGGUAAAGGCUCACCAAGGCGACGAUCAGUAGCUGGUCUGAGAGGAUGACCAGCCACAUUGGGACUGAGACACGGCCCAAACUCCUACGGGAGGCAGCAGUGGGGAAUCUUGCGCAAUGGGCGAAAGCCUGACGCAGCCAUGCCGCGUGAAUGAUGAAGGUCUUAGGAUUGUAAAAUUCUUUCACCGGGGACGAUAAUGACGGUACCCGGAGAAGAAGCCCCGGUUAACUACGUGCCAGCAGCCGCAGUAAUAC
rnacentral:rRNA from 1 species